GCAUCAGACCUCUAAUCGGAAAAGACUACCCGCUGAGUUUAAGCAUAUCAAUAAGCGGGAAGGG
rnacentral:rRNA from 1 species